rnacentral:rRNA from 1 species
AGAGUUUGAUCCUGGCUCAGGAUGAACGCUGGCGGCGUGCUUAACACAUUCAAGUCGAACGAAGCAUUUUUUUGGAAGUCCUGGGUGGAGAGAGAUGACUGAGUGGCGGACGGGUGAGUAACGCGUGAGCAAUCUGCCUAUGCGAGGGGGAGUAACAGCCGGAAACAGCUGCUAAUACCGCAUGAAACAUUUGGUCGCAUGAUCCGGAUGUCAAAGAGUAACAUCGCGCAUAG